rnacentral:rRNA from 1 species
AUUGAACGCUGGCGGCAGGCCUAACACAUGCAAGUCGAGCGGAUGAAGGGAGCUUGCUCCUGGCUUCAGCGGCGGACGGGUGAGUAAUGCCUAGGAAUCUGCCUGGUCGUGGGGGAUAACGUCAGGACACGGGCGCUAAUACCGCAUACGUCCUGAGGGAGAACGUGGGGUAUCUUUGGACCUCACGCUAUCAGAUGAGCCUAGGACGGAUUAGCUAGUUGGGUGGGUAAAGGCCUACCAAGGCGACGAUCCGUAACUGGUCUGAGAGGAUGAUCAGUCACACUGGAACUGAGACACGGUCCAGACUCCUACGGGAGGCAGCAGUGGGGAAUAUUGGACAAUGGGCGAAAGCCUGAUCCAGCCAUGCCGCGUGUGUGAAGAAGGUCUUCGGAUUGUAAAGCUCUUUAAGUUGGGAGGAAGGGCAGUAAGUUAAUACCUUGCUGUUUUGACGUUACCAACAGAAUAAGCACCGGCUAACUUCGUG